rnacentral:rRNA from 1 species
GUUUGAUUAUGGCUCAGAUUGAACGCUGGCGGCAGGCCUAACACAUGCAAGUCGAACGGUAACAGGAAGAAGCUUGCUUCUUUGCUGACGAGUGGCGGACGGGUGAGUAAUGUCUGGGAAACUGCCUGAUGGAGGGGGAUAACUACUGGAAACGGUAGCUAAUACCGCAUAACGUCGCAAGACCAAAGAGGGGGACCUUCGGGCCUCUUGCCAUCGGAUGUGCCCAGAUGGGAUUAGCUAGUAGGUGGGGUAACGGCUCACCUAGGCGACGAUCCCUAGCUGGUCUGAGAGGAUGACCAGCCACACUGGAACUGAGACACGGUCCAGACUCCUACGGGAGGCAGCAGUGGGGAAUAUUGCACAAUGGGCGCAAGCCUGAUGCAGCCAUGCCCGCGUGUAUGAAGAAGGCCUUCGGGUUGUAAAGUACUUUCAGCGGGGAGGAAGGGAGUAAAGUUAAUACCUUUGCUCAUUGACGUUACCCGCAGAAGAAGCACCGGCUAACUCCGUGCCAGCCGCCGC